ACAACUUUUAACGGUGGAUCUCUUGGCUCGUGCAUCGAUGAAGAACGCAGCGAAAUGCGAUACGUAGUGUGAAUUGCAGAUUUUCGUGAAUCAUCGAAUCUUUGAACGC
rnacentral:rRNA from 1 species